UGGGGAAUAUUGCGCAAUGGGCGAAAGCCUGACGCAGCGACGCCGCGUGAGGGAUGAAGGUUUUCGGAUCGUAAACCUCUGUCAGAAGGGAAGAAACCGCACUGUGCUAAUCAGCAGUGCCUUGACGGUACCUUCAAAGGAAGCACCGGCUAACUCCGUGCCAGCAGCCGCGGUAAUACGGAGGGUGCAAGCGUUAAUCGGAAUUACUGGGCGUAAAGCGCACGUAGGCUGCUUUGUAAGUCAGGGGUGAAAUCCCACGGCUCAACCGUGGAACUGCCUUUGAUACUGCUUAGCUUGAAUCCGGGAGAGUGUGGCGGAAUUCCAGGUGUAGGAGUGAAAUCCGUUGAUAUCUGGAGGAACAUCAGUGGCGAAGGCGGCCACCUGGACCGGUAUUGACGCUGAGGUGCGAAAGCGUGGGGAGCAAACAGG
rnacentral:rRNA from 1 species